GUUGCGUCACAGGUCGUCAUGAUCACGACCUAUGAGUGGCAAUAUACUCGAUGUCUAAGGCAUUGCCACCCUCCAAGUGGGGAGUUUGAUUUGGUUGCGACAAACGCAACCAUUUGGUUGCGACAAAGCAACCAUUUGGUUGCGACAAAGCAACCAAAUCAAACAAUCUGCGGCAACAUCGGUAGUGUCGUGUCGAUGUUGUUUAAAGGUGGGGCUCUAACCUGUUGCGUUGUUGUUGAUGACAUUCGUCCAUAGGUGAUGUGGUGUCAUGUCCCUCGUGUAUCCUCGUUUUUGGCUUUUCCAGCUUAUAACACAUGGAUAAUCGGUUGGUGAUCGACAUCACUCCCUUGGUUGAUGAAAGUCGUCCAAUGAUGUGAUGGUUUGUUUAUUUUGUUCUCGCAUCGCUCGGUGCAUUCUGUGGUCAUUUUGGCUUUUAGCGGCUUGCUUGGCAAUUGGGCUUGGUGGGUGGCUACUAGUUCGGAUGUCUUCGGGGAUGUCUACCGUAAAGGUGCAUGAGUGGUGUUUGGUUUGUUACGGGUGGUUGGCUCUUUGCUUGCGCAACAACUUCCACCUGGCAUACCUCUUCAGUCCUGUGUCAAUGCUUGUAUUGCGCUGACUGCACGACGGGUUUCUUGUGUUGCAUGCCUAACUAAUGGUAUCGUUUGAUGAACUGGUUUCCCUUUUCGUCUUGCGUCGCCUAUGCGAUGUGAGAUGAACCUUGAAGCAGCCUUUGUGAUCCACACUUUUGAUGCAUACGCAUUGAUUUUGUGGCCCAUUAAGUUUUGCUUGGUCUCUUGGAUAUGGAACCUGGUGUGGGCAUGGAAUUGUAAUGGUUCCUUGUUUGCCCAAGUUUAGCUUUUCGAAAACGAUUUGUCU
rnacentral:misc_RNA from 1 species